GCGCAGCAGCGGCCGGCGGCCCCCGGGCUCGCGCGCGUUGCCAAGCGGCCGUUUCCGUAGCAACCCCGCCCGGGGAUGGAGGACCAGGCAGGGAGGGGGGCCGGGAAGCGAAAGAGAUAGAUCAAAAAGAGGGAAAGAGAGUGACAGGGAAGCUAGGGAGACAGCGGGCUAGGACGCCGAGGUCUGGUAAGGCUUGGCAGCACAAGCAAGGGAGGUGUGCGGACUGCUUGGCUGGGAAGUCAGGGCACCGGGGCCUGGCCUGCCCUCGGGUGCGUUCAGUUCCUGGGGCCUCCCAGGGCACCCGGACUUUAAAGUGCUCAAGUUGGGGUCGGCGCCAUCAUGACGCCCAAGACAGUGACUCCGGCUCACUACAACUCAAUUGUUAACCGUGACUUCUUUGGGAAAGGCCCACAGCAGAGAACGAAAUGGAAACAUCCAAGUUCUGGUUGGUGAGGCAGUACCUCCAGGGUGAAUGCUCCUCACAGCUGACUGUGAACUAGAAGACUAGCACACCAGAACCCAGAGUUAUCAUCAGUGUUCAGCCACCCCAUGAUGAAAUACUAGUGACGACUAAGGCUUUUGGCCCUGUCCAGGCAAAAACAGGAUGCUGUCCUGUCUCUAGGGUUUCUUCGGGAUAACCACAAUAUCUAAAAGAUGAAUGUUUAGGCUUGCCACUGCUGGUCAUGGUCAGUGCAGGCCUCAGCAACCAAAGGCUCAUCAUCCCUGGGUGGUCAAUAAUCGCUCCGUAGCUUCUCAUUCUUCUGGAUAAGGCUCCAAAACAUAGGCAAUCUUGACAAAUGUUUCUUGUUUCAUUGCUGUAAAAAAUAUUUUACAUCCCUGCGACGCCCGGGUUUAUGUUUCUCCUGGCAACUGAAGGGGAAUCUCAUCAGAACUGUAAAUGUGAGUUUGUACAGAAUACAUGCCCAAGUGAAGAAUAACAAGUGUCUACAAAGGUUUUCAGAAUGAAAAUACUUAGAAUUUACCUAUAAUUUUAAUUUUAGUAAAAAACAAAACUUUAUCCUGGUACAUAUUUUCUUGCAUAUUCAGAUAUGCUAUGUAUAACAUGUUAUGUGUAGACUCAACAUUACUGGGUUCAAUAAACUUUUGCGUUAUGCUCAUUGAAACAGCUUCAUACUGGACACAAGCCCUCACUUUGGGUGAUAUUUGCAUGGAAUCCCUGAUUUCCGCGAAAGGCAUAUAAAGCAUGAUUUUGAACAACAA